UACGAAGGGGGCUAGCGUUGUUCGGAAUUACUGGGCGUAAAGCGCGCGCAGGCGGUCCUUCAAGUCAGGGGUGAAAGCCCAGGGCUCAACCCUGGAACUGCCUUUGAUACUGACGAUCUGGAGAUCGGGAGAGGUUGGUGGAAUUCCGAGUGUAGAGGUGAAAUUCGUAGAUAUUCGGAGGAACACCAGAAGCGAAGGCGGCCAACUGGCCCGAUACUGACGCUGAGGCGCGAAAGCGUGGGGAGCAAACAGG
rnacentral:rRNA from 1 species